AGUGAACGCUGGCGGUGGGCCUAACACAUGCAAGUCGAACGGCAGCACAGUAAGAGCUUGCUCUUACGGGUGGCGAGUGGCGGACGGGUGAGGAAUACAUCGGAAUCUACUUUUUCGUGGGGGAUGACGUAGGGAAACUUACGCUACUACCGCAUACGACCUACGGGUGAAAGCAGGGGAUCUUCGGACCUUGCGCGAUUGAAUGAGCCGAUGUCGGAUUAGCUAGUUGGCGGGGUAAAGGCCCACCAAGGCGACGAUCCGUAGCUGGUCUGAGCGGAUGAUCAGCCACACUGGAACUGAGACACGGUCCAGACUCCUACGGGAGGCAGCAGUGGGGAAUAUUGGGCAAUGGGCGCAAGCCUGAUCCAGCCAUACCGCGUGGGUGAAGAAGGCCUUCGGGUUGUAAAGCCCUUUUGUUGGGAAAGAAAAGCAGCAGGUUAAUCCCCCGCUGUUCUGACGGUACCCAAAGAAUAAGCACCGGCUAACUUCGUG
rnacentral:rRNA from 1 species